rnacentral:rRNA from 1 species
UACAGAGGUCUCAAGCGUUGUUCGGAUUCAUUGGGCGUAAAGGGGGCGUAGGUGGCAUGGUAAGUCGGAUGUGAAAUCCCGGGGCUCAACCCCGGAACUGCACUCGAUACUGCUGCGCUAGAGUACUGGAGAGGAGAUUGGAAUUUACGGUGUAGCAGUGAAAUGCGUAGAUAUCGUAAGGAAGACCAGUGGCGAAGGCGGAUCUCUGGACAGUUACUGACACUGAGGCACGAAGGCCAGGGGAGCAAACGGG